rnacentral:lncRNA from 1 species
CUGUUCCCCUCGCGGCCCCGCCUCUCCCUGCUCCCCAAGCUUGGAAGCUGCGCCGCCCCCUGUGUCCCAGCGUGGCAUGGGGGCGUCAGGAUGCCAGCAUUGCCUGCUUCCGGUUCCUCUCCUCUGAAGACCACAGGACGCCCGCUGGCCUCUUCCUUGUCCUCUGUAUCUCUGUUCUACCCGCAGCAGUAAGACACCAAUUGCCAAGUAUGCAUUACGUCUAUCUUAUAUUAUACAAUCUCCUGAAUUAUAUUACUUGGUUAUUUAAAGACCACCUUUACAGAAACAAGUGGCCAAAGAUGAAACUGAGAGACGAGGCUAAGAAAGGAAAGGGAAAUGAACUGGAAGAUCCACAAACCAGUGGUGAUUGCUGCGUUUCUGCGUCUCUCCUCUGUUCUCUUCACCUGGCAGCACUGUGUCUUGCACUUUUGGGAGCCGCUACGCUGUCUCCCUCCAUCCCUGCUUCCACCAGUUGAUAGACUGUCUCCUAACGUGCGUGGACUUUGAUCUGCACUUUGACCCUCCUACGUUUGCUCACCUCUGCCCAUCUUAUGCCCGCCCCAGGUGACCAAGUUUAGCCCACAGGAGACAGCUCUGGAAAGUUGCAAAGCAAGAGGAUGUCUCUAAACAAAUACAAUUCCUUAGCAGCAGCUCUUGAAGAAAAGGGUUUAUAACAGAAUCCCUCAACAAAUAACUCAGGAUAAUUCUAAGGUGACUCAGUGAGAUAAAAAGACAGUCUCUAUCUCUGUCUAGAAAGGCAUUAGUCCCAUAAGAAAAUCAUCAAAAUCCCUACAAUAUUUUUACAUGAAAAAUGAACUCAGACCCUGCACCAAUAAUAGAUGGUGAGUAAAUGCGGAAGCUGAUCAUGCCAAGUGUUUCCUUGGAAGAAAGGGAAGAAGAGACUGAUUACAUUCACGGCUGCUUUUAUUCUGGACUGGCACUAUCAGUGAAUUCCAAGAAAAACACAACCUACAACAGCAGAAUUGCUUUGCUCAUAAUCCUGCGAGUCAGAUUGGGCUGAAAGCAUGGCAACGUAUUUUUGCAACUUUCCCAGUCAUCCUGGAAAGAAACGAUGGACAAGCUGUCAGGGCGAAGGGGGGAGCGAGCAGAGGACAGUCUACUCUUGCCUCCAAGCCCAAACCCACAGA